rnacentral:rRNA from 1 species
AUGCUUGAUCUCAAUGAGUUGCCUCCUGAUCUCAAUGAGCUUCCUCAUGAUAUGGAUCAGCAGCAACCCAGCAUACCACAAGGAAAUUGGUCAGAAAAUGGGCGAUCUAUUUACUACACGCAGGCAAGUCGUGGUGGAAGCCCUAUUGGCCAUGACAAUGUGGCAGGCCAGCCAUCAAGCCGUGGUGCCCCUAUAGCGGUGUCUCUGCAGUCAGAGAGCCAUACUCUAGAUGACGCAGGAAUCGAGGCAAAUGUUCCUGGUCCAACCAGGAUUGAGUUAGGAACUGGGGCUGUUGAUGGAGCUGUGCAAGAAGAGGAAGGAGAGGAUGAGGCUGGUUCUCAACCUAUGGAACCCUAUGUUGGCAUGAGGUUUGACAGCCUUCAAAUUGCUAAAGAUCACUACAACAGCUACGCACUACGGAUGGGUUUCUCUAUCAAGAUGAACACAUCUAGACGGACACCCCGCACCAAUGAAUUGAUAAAACAACAGUUUUGCUGCAACAAGUUCAAGAAGCCCAAAGCUGAUGAUGGAGGAGCUGAGGCUCCUCCUGUCUUGGACCCUAUUCCAGAUCCAAAAUCUGUUGAUAGUGACAAGGAGAUGGAAGAAGAACCUCCAAUAUUUGCUGAAGAGGAGGCUGGUACUAGUAAGAAGAAGAAGAAGCGCAAACAUGAGACAAUAAAGCAGACUCAGUGCAAAGCGAAGAUGUUGGUGAAGCUGAUAGAUGGGCGAUGGGAGGUGACACACUUUGUUCGUGACCACAAUCAUCCGCUCGUGAACAAAGCUUCAUUGCCCAAAUACUUGAGAUCCCACCAAGGCAUCUCACCUGAUGAAAAGGAGUUUCUGCGCAUCUUGUAUAACUGCAACUUUACUACAGGUGUGGUGUUUUUCUAUAUCCCUUAA